rnacentral:tRNA from 1 species
UCCCUGGUACCUCAGUCGGUAAAGAAUCUGCCUGCAAUGCAGGAGACCUGGGUUCGAUUCCUGGGUCGGGAA